UCCUCUUCAGACUUUGUCCCCGUCAGUCUCAGUCUGUAUGUGUGUGUGUGUGUGUCUGUCUGUCUCUCUUCUCUCUCUCGAUUUCAGUUAGGUCCGCCGCCCGGGUUGCUCGCUCACUUUUCACCCGCUGUCGCUCCUCUUCCUCCUUUUCUUCCUCCUCCUCCGUGUAGCCUGAACAUGGCGCUGCUCUGCCGGGAAAUUCUUGUUGAAGCGGAAUAUUCCGAAUCUGUACCAAGUGUUGGGGCUCAACCAAGUCUUCACCUCACCAUGUGAUCAGAGAUAAUGGGCACUGCAGAUGCCGGAGAAUCCAAGAUAACAAAGUGUGAAGCUG